AUUGAACGCUGGCGGCAGGCCUAACACAUGCAAGUCGAACGGUAACAGGAAGAAGCUUGCUUCUUUGCUGACGAGUGGCGGACGGGUGAGUAAUGUCUGGGAAACUGCCUGAUGGAGGGGGAUAACUACUGGAAACGGUAGCUAAUACCGCAUAACGUCGCAAGACCAAAAAGGGGGACCUUCGGGCCUCUUGCCAUCGGAUGUGCCCAGAUGGGAUUAGCUAGUAGGUGGGGUAACGGCUCACCUAGGCGACGAUCCCUAGCUGGUCUGAGAGGAUGACCAGCCACACUGGAACUGAGACACGGUCCAGACUCCUACGGGAGGCAGCAGUGGGGAAUAGUGCACAAUGGGCGCAAGCCUGAUGCAGCCAUGCCGCGUGUAUGAAGAAGGCCUUCGGGUUGUAAAGUACUUUCAGCGGGGAGGAAGGGAGUAAAGUUAAUACCUUUGCUAAUUGACGUUACCCGCAGAAGAAGCACCGGCUAACUCCGUG
rnacentral:rRNA from 1 species